rnacentral:rRNA from 1 species
GAUCAUGACUCAGGAUAAACGCUGGCGGCGCACAUAAGACAUGCAAGUCGAACGGAAGUCGUUACGGAAUGGAAUGAAGAUUUAUCUGAUUGAAGUUUUGUAACAAUGGCUUUAGUGGCGGACUGGUGAGUAACACGUAAGCAAUCUACCUAUUAGAGGGGAAUAACAAUGAGAAAUCAUUGCUAAUACCGCAUAAGCUUGUAGUACCGCAUGGUACAGCAAGAAAAGGAGCAAUCCG